rnacentral:rRNA from 1 species
UCGAGGAUAUUUAGCAAUGGACGAAAGUCUGACUAUGUGACGCCGCGUGAGGGAUGAAGGUCUUCGGAUUGUAAACCUCUUUCGAUAGGGAAGAAAACCUGCUCUUAACGGAGCAGACUGACGGUACCUAGAGAAGAAGCCACGGCCAACUCUGUGCCAGCAGCCGCGGUAAUACAGAGGUGGGGAGCGUUACUCGGAUUUAUUGGGUGUAAAGGGCAAGUAGGCGUCUUGACAAGUUAGGAGUGAAAUCCUGCAGCUUAACUGCAGAACUGCUUCUAAAACUGUCGAGAUUGAGUCUGGGAGAGGAAAGUGGAAUUCUCGGUGUAAGAGUGAAAUCUGUAGAUAUCGAGAGGAACACCAGUGGCGAAGGCGGCUUUCUGGCCCAGUUCUGACGCUGAAUUGCGAAAGCUAGGGGAGCAAACA